CUGGUCCUGUGCGGUUGGUGGCGAGUGAGCCGCCGAGGGCCGUAGUCCCCUGUUUUGCUCUGUGUUCUCCCGUUUACCUCCCCUAGCCGUGCCGCUAGCGCCGGAGGGGAGUGGGUGCGUGUCCCGGGUUCCUCGGCGGAGGUCGACGCCAGCAGUGUCUCUCCUCGUGCCCGGGGUGGUUAGUGCCGUGCCAGCUUCGGUGUACCACCCCCCACACCGUCAAGAGCGACUCUUCUCAGACGCGUCCACCCCCCACUCCUCAAGUUCCCGCCUUCCUUCUCCUUCGAGGAGCAGGUGCUGCGACGACCCCGCGUCAGAGUGCACAAAACCUCCUGUUGCCAGGGCCGGUGCCCUUCGACAAUGUGGUCGUGGGCUUCAGAAACAAAGAGUGCAGUCGCCUGGACUGGCCCGAGAAGGCUCUUUACGCGAACGUGAUAUUAAAGAAUUACGGAAACGCCAUGGCACUGAGUUCCAAGGUUCCAGGAUGUGGCCGUCACUCUUGCCGGGGCUCCUUCCAGCCCGCUCUGGGUUUUGCAGGUGAACUGAUGGUAACAAAGCCCGUGAUGAAGGGAGCCAGUUCUGGAGAGAUCAGGGGCAGAGGCAGCGCGGCCAGCAAGCGAGUCUCAAGCUGGAGGAUUUAUUUAUUUUAUUCGAGAGGGAGAGAGAGUCUUAAGUUGACACCACACUGACAGUGGAGCCCGACCUGGGGCUUGAUCUCACAACCCCAGAUCA